UCGAGGAUCUUCGGCAAUGGGGGCAACCCUGACCGAGCGAUGCCGCGUGAGCGAUGAAGGCCUUCGGGUUGUAAAGCUCGAAAGUGGGGAGAAACGCCGAAAGGCUUGAUCUAUCCACAGUAAGCUCGGGCUAAGUUCGUGCCAGCAGCCGCGGUAAGACGAACCGAGCGAACGUUGUUCGGAAUCACUGGGCUUAAAGGGCGCGUAGGCGGGCUGUCAAGUUUGGGGUGAAAUCCCGCGGCUCAACCGUGGAACUGCCUCAAAUACUGACGGUCUCGAGGGAGAUAGGGGCAAGCGGAACUAAUGGUGGAGCGGUGAAAUGCGUUGAUAUCAUUAGGAACUCCGGUGGCGAAGGCGGCUUGCUGGAUCUCUUCUGACGCUGAGGCGCGAAAGCUAGGGGAGCAAACGG
rnacentral:rRNA from 1 species